rnacentral:lncRNA from 1 species
AAACAAACCCAAAGCUGUAAUUCAGUUCAAGUAAAAGUUGCUCAGAGAAUCAAAAAUAAAAAGGGUCAAGUUUCACUCCUAGGUUCUGAAAGGGAGUCGUAGAAUUGACAUUACCUCUUAAAAAUAAGGAGAAUGUGGCAAACAAAAGGCAAAGAGACCAAAGAGACAACCAUCAGAUAUCUGAAAAUGAGAUACUCAUCUUCAAAUGAGAAAAGAAGCCAAUUUCCGACCAGCGUGGACUUACAGAAAAUAAAAGGCACAAACAUAAGUGCAGCAGUGGCUAGAAUGUUCCUGAGAAGGAUGAGACUAACUGACCAAAAGAAAUCUUCUAACCUUCAUCCUAUGUAGACUUGAUGAAGAACACAGAGCUGAUGAAAAUGAAGCUGACUAAGAACUAGGACUACUCUCUAGAGACCUUUCCUAAAAAUGCUAUCAUCAGUAAUAACUCCCUGCUGAUAAGUACUUUUGAGACCUGUGAGACAGUUCUUAGUCCAUUUAAGGAUGUACUUUACUGACACUGCAUAUCCUUAUACUUUUAUCAACAUGUCAUGUAUAGCAAAUCAAAUGCUUUGCAGAAAUACACAAUGUAUUCCCUUCAACAAUAACUGUAAUAAAUAAAUAAAGCCUGUUUUU